rnacentral:rRNA from 1 species
GUAUGACUCUCGGCAAUGGAUUUCUUGGCUCUUGCAUCGAUGAAGAGCGCAGCGAAAUGCGAUACGUGGUGUGAAUUGCAGAAUCCCGUGAACCAUCGAGUUUUUGAACGCAAGUUGCGCCCGAGGCCAAUUGGCUAAGGGCACGUCCGCCUGGGCGUCAAGC